GCUGCAUUUGUGCCAGACUCUUCUGCCUUAAGUCACUUAUAUGUUGUCCCUUUCCUUUUUAAAACUCUGAUAGAAUUGCCAGAAGUGAAAUAUGCAUUGGAUGCAAACCACUACUGGAAGGUUUGGACUGAAACCAAGUAAAAAAGGAUAUUCUGAGCUACAGCUUCUACUCCACAUUCUGACUUGUACAGGGAGAAGCGGACAGGACAGACCUAUGCUGUAAGAGCUUGGGCUAGCUAUUCUCCAGAAGGGAGCGGGGGUGAAAGGACUUGAGGGUACCCCACAGGAAUUCCCAAGUGAGCCUUCCUGGUCUCUCAAAGGGGUUCUGCACUUGGGUGGUGGCAGCAUCUACCAAUCCAAGUACUAGCACUGACUGAUGGAACAUGAUUGGAAUGCAGACCUGGGACGUCCAGCAUUGGAAGCAGAACUUCAGGAUGUCAAAGGCCACCUUCCUAGAAAUCUGCAGAACACACCUAUCUGGAAGCUCAUCAACACGAUUGCUACCAGUCAGUAGCGGCUCAUUUUGGUAUUGUUAGAUCACCUCUCAGGGUUGUUGUAAUGGAGGUGUGUGCGGUUAUCAAGAAGGUGCUGUUCCCUCUGGUCAUAAAGCUAGGCAAUACACAGGAUGUUAUUCACGGAUUUACUAUUUGAGCCCCUGAAUUAUAUUGGAGCCAUUGAUGGUAUCCCUGUGCCUCUCCUUUGCCCCCAACAUCAAGCCUCAGGGUUCAUCAACAGAAAGGCAUAUUUCUUCAUGGUGCUGCAGGGCUGGCUGAACAUUAUGGGAGGUUCACCAAUAUGAAUGUGGGGUGGUCUGCAAAGGUUCAUGAUGCUGGGAUCUUUAGAAACUCUGGCUUGUUUUCUGCAAUGAACUUUUGUUUCUGUGAACCACUCUGGACCCUGAUGGUACUGGCAUUCCUCCUAUGAUUACCCUCUGUCUCCCUGGAUUACGAAGCCUCUUACUGGAUACUUGGAUUGGAUAAAGGACCUGUUUAACUAAAUCCCAAGUGGCUGCAGAAUGAUAGUGCAACAUACAUUUGGAAGACUGACGGGUAGAUGGAGGUACCUAAUGUCCAAGCUGAAAGCUGAUGAGCAAUAUCUGCAUCAUCAGAUAUUGAUAGAUGCUUGCUGUGUUUUGCACAACCUACGCGAGAUCAAAGGAGAUAGCUUUGCUGAGGAAUAGAAGGAGGUCAUGAGCAGAAUUCCUGAAGUUUCUGAACACCAGAAAGGCAGCAUCUACCAAAUGCUGCAACUGGUCAGGGACUCAGAGCCAGGGAUGCAUUAUGUUCCUACUCUGAGGCCAAGACAAACUUGUGAACAAUGUAUAUACCUUUGAGUAAGGCUUUUAUCAUGAUGAGUACACGUGUCUUAACACUUAUAUCUACUGGUAGAUGGAGUUUAGUACACUGCA